CCAGCCCCAGCACAAAAUGCCGCUCACAGCUGCCGUAAGAGGCGCUUUGAACUCAAAGACUCUGCAGCCCCCACCAACACCGAAUUCCUGAGAGCCCUCGGCUCUCUCAGGGAUGGAAGAAGCUGGGGUACUGUGAGAGGGACAGAGCCCUUUCAUUUUGGGGGCUGAACAGGACAGCUGACACUUCAGUUCCCAUCGAGAGCUUCCUCACUGCCGUUCAUGCCGCUGCAGAUUUUGGAUGUGUCUCACGGGGAGGCAAGCUGUCCUGGGGGACCUGCAGCCACCGGGUGGAUGUGCCCACUGACUCACCCAUGGACAGCCCCGUGGCCACUCCCACGCGCCUUGGGCAGUGGCCUCACUGGAACCACGUUCCCUCAGCUGUGAAAUGAAGGCUAAAGGCAGAAGAAUUCAAACAAGGGCCCUUUUGAUGUGACAGAAGUCCAAAUAAACUCCACGCCAUUUUCAUCUCAAGCUGGC